rnacentral:rRNA from 1 species
UACGUAGGGGGCUAGCGUUGUCCGGAUUUAUUGGGCGUAAAGAGCGUGUAGGCGGCCAUGUAGGUCCGGUGUGAAAACUCGAGGCUUAACCUCGAGAUGUCAUCGGAAACCAUUUGGCUAGAGUCCGGAAGAGGAGAGUGGAAUUUCCGGUGUAGCGGUGAAAUGCGUAGAGAUCGGAAGGAAUACCGGUGGCGAAGGCGGCUACCUGGCCUAAUACUGACACUGAGGCACGAAAGCGUGGGGAGCAAACAGG